AGUUCCGUCAAUCUCCAUGUCAACUGCAGGCUGACUGAAGCAGCGGAUAGGACAGUGCGGACCCAUUUCUGCUGUAAUGAAGCAGCUUCCGGGUCACAGGACACCAGCACUAAACAUGGCGGAGGAGCUGUUGGAAGUGGUGGAGAGACUUCAGUCUCGGCUCUCCGAAAACCUAGAGCCUCGCAAGCUCCUGAAGAACCUCAAAAGGCUGGGGGAGGUGCCUAUGACUGUGGAUAUCCUUGUGGAAACUGGAGUAGGAAAAACUGUGAAUUCGUUCCGGAAACAUGAUCUUGCUGGAGAUCUUGCGAAGAGCCUUGUGGCCAAGUGGAAGAAACUGGUUCCCACCCCGUCUGCUGAAAGACCCGGCAACGCGAAGGAUGUACGGACACACGUGCACCCUCGCAGCUCCGAGGGAAAGGACGGGAGGCGCGAACGUGUCCGGGAACUAUCCCCGGAGGAGCCGCCUCCUCAUGUAGAGGAGGACGACGAAGAGGAGGAGGAAAGAGGCUACAGCACAAACUACUCCCCCUCCCCCCCUCAGCACCACUACAGCCCCCCACAGGUUGGCCACGGUGGCCAACGAGGGGGGUACCAGUCGGAGGGCUACGAGAGCCCCACGGAGGAAGAGCCAGAGCCCGCGCCCAGCCCCCCUCGCAAAGAGGUCCGACAUGCCAAACCGCAAAAAGAGCCUGGGAGGGAGCAUCACGGUUCCCACGGCGACCGGGGCGAGGAGAGACGGCAACGUCACGCCCAGGCGAGCAGCCGUGGUGGCGAAGGAAAGAAGAGCAGCGUGGGGAAGGAACCGCAGCACAGUGGCAAGGCCUCCAAGCACAGUCGGCACUCCACGCAGCACGAGAGCAAGAAGGACAAGAGAGGGGGAAGUGAAGGGAGGUCACGUGAACCUAGGGACUCUCCUAUAUUAGCCCAGACACCUGAGGAGCAGGCAGAAGAGGCAUUUGAUACCCCCACCGUGUCGUUUGAAUCCUUCCUCACAUAUGACGCCCCUACGCCCACUAAGAAGAAGAAGAAGCCCAGCAGCAGCAGUCGGCCCUCCUCCCACCACCACACACCUCGUCCUCCUGUCCAGCCUUCGCCUGCUGCCCCUUCCUCCUCCAAGGAGUCCAAGCCCAGCAAGGCAAACGGGAACCGCAGCAAGAGGGCUGAUCCAGCCCAGACCCCAACGGCAACGACCCCCGGUGCCUGAGAAACGCAGGAGGGUGGUCGAGGUUGUGUCCACACUGCCUGAUAUCCCUCUGCCGGCCAUCCAGCCUUACUACAGACCUCUGCCUUCCAUUGAUCUCACACCAUUGUCCCCUCAGCGGCGUAAAGGUCCUGUGUCAAAUGAAGCCGAGGAGGACACUGGCUUCACUGGGAGACGCUUUAACUCUAAAAUGACCGUCUACUCGGGUUCGAAGACGUCUUAUCUGCCCAAGAUGAUGAGUCUGUACGAGCAGUGCAUCAGGGUGCUACAAAACAACAUUGACUCAAUUGAUGAGGUGGGAGGCGUGCCUUUUGAGAUACUGGAACCAGUACUAGAGCGAUGCACCCCAGAACAGCUUUACCGCAUUGAGCAGUGCAAUCAGUGUUUUAUGGAGGACUCUGAUGAGCUUUGGCAACGCCACUGCCAGCGUGACUUCAAGCGUGAGACGCCCCAGGAGUACGAAUCAUGGCGGGAGAUGUACCUGCGGAAACACGACGAGCGGGAGGAGCGCCUGCUCAAGCUCACCCAAAACAUCAGCUCUGCCCAUGCCAACAAGCCCAAAGGUCGACAGGUUAAAAUGGCAUUUGUGAACUCGGUCGCAAAACCUCCACGUGAUGUCCGCCGGCGACAGGAGAAGUUUGGCACCACAAGUACCUCCACUGCCAGCUCCACCGCAGCUGCUGCUCCGAUCAAAAUAAGGCCAGCCAUGUCUUAUAGCUCUCAGUUGGCUGAACCCAGCUUCUCCUCCUCUCACGACAGUCCCCCUGAGACCUCUCGCUCCUCAGGCCCCAGCAGUGGGGGGUUGCCCCAGCGCAAGAGACAACAAGCCACAGGUCAAAAAAAUCGCCCCCAUGAUGGCUAAAACUAUCAAAGCUUUCAAGAACAGAUUCUCCCGCCGAUAGAGUUGGAGAGAGGUGAAUGUAUGGAGUUAUUGAGAGGAAGAGCGAUUGUAGGAGCUAAGUGAGCUAAGCUCUUUUUUUUUAAAUUCAAUGAAUUAUGGAAGAUCUACAAACCCCGACCAGACAUGUGUACACACACAGACACACACACAGAUUUAUUCCAUUAUUUUAGCAUUUCUUAAAUACACACACAAUUAUGUCCUAUUUUUUAACUGUUCCCAGUUUGACCCUGGCAAACACACACUUGUACACACACAGACAAAAUAACAUUUCAAAGGUGAAACUAGUCAUUUGUUACAAGUUCAUACAAGCAGUAUCACACUACAGAGGGACUCUGACAGACAGAACUAUUCUUUAUUAUGGUACUCAUAAGUUAAGACAUCAAACUACAUAGUGCUGUUAGUCAGUCAUGUUUUUAAAAAUACAAUUGAGUAGACCUCCUUUUACUCCAGUGUAUUCCCACUUUCUUUUCCUACUGUGUUCAGUGUUGAACCACAUGUGCAUCCCUACUUUUAUCUGGUUCACUGUGAUGAGUGAGGAAUGAAGUGACUGCGGGAAGAGGAAAACACAAAAAGGGAGAGAGUAAAAGAGCAAGUGAUAGGACCCUGCAGCUUCACUCGUAUGUAUUUAUUUUCAACUCUGGGACCCCCGGGUCACCCUGAACCCAGACCCAAAUGGAAGUGGAUGAAAUAGUAAUUUUAAUAGAUUUUAAUAAAUGUUAUAUGGACAUUUUUAAUAAAAUUGACUUUUUGCCCUCA